AAAAGAUACUUUCAGAAGGUUCAGUAAUAUCAACAACCUUUUCCUCAUUGUUGGUCAUUGGUGAAUCAUCAACAAUAUUCAAUUGAUGAUUAACAAAGUUUGUUUCUGCCUCCAUUACUUUGUUCUUUUGAGACUCCUGGAAUAAAUUAGCCAGAUGCCUCGGCGUACGACAGGUACGCGACCAAUACCCUUUCAUCCCACACCUAAAAC
rnacentral:lncRNA from 1 species